CAUAUGUGCUGACACAGCCACCCUCAGUGUCAGUGGCCCCAGGACAGACACCCAGGAUCACCUGUAGGGGAAAUAAUAUUGGAAUUAAACCUGCUUAAUGGUACCAGCAGAAACCAGGCCAGGCCCUUGUGCAGGUCAUCUAUGGGGAUAGCAGAUGGCCUUCAGGGAUCUCUAAGUGAUUCUCCAGCUCCAACUCGGGGAACAUGGUCACCCUGACCAUCAGUGGAGCCCAGGCUGGGGACGA
rnacentral:lncRNA from 1 species